AUGGAGGUAAUGUAUAUUGUAACAUCUAUGGGGAUGGAUAACACGGUUACCGUGAAUGACGAGAUAACUGCAUCUCACCAAGGAAAAGGACGACCAAACCAACUCAUCAUUCUAAGACAAUUUCUAUGUUGUCUUUCGCAGCUUGCAAGCUUUCUUUUGAUUUGUAACAUUAAUGAGGUCAUGAACCCUAGAUCUAGAUCGGUUGAGGGGAUUCUUGAAUCAAUUAUGAGCCGCCUCCAUUCCUUGCCGGUGCUACCACUUGAUGACGAGGACCUCCUUCAGGAGAUCUUCCUCCGCCUCCCUCCGCAACAAUCCUCCCUGCCGCACACUUCCCUAGUAUGCCCAUGUUGGGGCAACAUCCUCUUCGACCCCAAGUUCCUAUGCCGCUUUCGCAAGCACCACGAGAAACCACCUAUGCUUGGCUUCUUUGCAAGGUGUUUACUCACCGACGUGACCAUCUUCACUCCCACCCUUGACUCGCCUAACUACAUGCAUGUUACCCGCUUCCCCAUGCCACACAGCCACAAUAGCUACAAGCAGUUGCGCUUCCAGGGUUGCCGCCAUGGCGAAUGGCGACAUGACAUAGUGGAGGGCCGCCGGUACCCACUACAGGAAUAG
rnacentral:rRNA from 1 species